rnacentral:lncRNA from 1 species
UGUCAAUUCUGAGGAAAUCAAUAGGAAGUAAACUAUUCCAGUUCCUAAAAAUGUGAGUGUUUUGUGUGGUGAGAGAGACCACACAUUUCAAAGAAAAAUGAUAGAGAUAGACUGGUAAGUGCUCUCUGCAAGCAUUUAGAAUUUUCUCUGUCUCCUAAAUAUUUUAAGUUCACUGUAAUGUAUCUGGGUGUGUCUUUUUCUUUUGUUUUCUGUUUGGUACUUUAUGAGCCUUUUCCAUUUGUCUUUAUGUCUGGGAAAUUCAUCUUUGCUUUCCUUCAAAUAUUUCUUUUUCUC